UACGUAGGGAGCAAGCGUUGUCCGGAAUCAUUGGGCGUAAAGCGCGCGUAGGUGGCUUCGUAAGUCCGUUGUGAAAGUCAAAGGCUCAACCUUUGGAAGCCGAUGGAUACUGCGGAGCUAGAGUACGGAAGAGGCGAGUGGAAUUCCUGGUGUAGCGGUGGAAUGCGCAGAUAUCAGGAGGAACACCAAUAGCGAAGGCAGCUCGCUGGGACGUUACUGACACUGAGGCGCGAAAGCGUGGGGAGCGAACAGG
rnacentral:rRNA from 1 species